GAUCAUCGUUGGACGCGAAUCGUAUUGCUUGUCAAUUACACCAUAUUGCAUACGGUUAUCCUGAUACGCGGACGUAUACAUUGAUAACAACGCGUUUAAAACAGCAGCGGCAUUCUAUCAGACAACGCCUAUAUCAAUAUUGUUUUAUCAACGUAACGACUGUUUGUGUUUACGCGCGUUAUUCAUUGUUUUACUCAAAUAUUUAUUAGAAAACAAACGACAUGCAGACGUUGAAGAAUCGGACUUUUUUGGCGGCUUUGAAUAAAAGUUUAACAGAAAGUGUUAGAGUAAAUUCUUCAGCCACGGAAAAUGUGGAAACAGCUCAAAACUUGAAGUCAUGGAAGGAUAUUCCUGGUCCACCAAAUCUGCCUAUAUUAGAACAACGUCUACAGUUUAUCAUGAAAGGAAGUUACGUUUAAAAUGUCCUGCCUAGACACUCCUGCCAUACCAAUUCGAUGAUGAUAUUUAGACAACUGAACCCCUAAUAUAAAUUUUCGAUAGCGUGACGAUCGAGCGUUUGCGUUUGCGUUGUUGGUAUUUUUGUAAGGGAUUUUGAGUUUCGAAAAAGUCCCGCUUGGCGCGCUGUUUAAAAUACCAUACAAAAAUACUUAUACAUAACGCAAACGCUCGAUCGUCACGACAUCGAAUGAAAUUUACACUAGGGGUUCAAUAGUUUAUAAUAAUUAAUAAUUUUAUAUGUUCAACAGGUAAAUUCACAGAUCCGGUUAAAAUCUACGACACCCUGUAAGUACAAGACAUACGGUCCUAUAGUAAAAGUUAAAGGAAACUUUGGUUCACCGGAUGUGAUAUGAUCGUGAUCGUGUUGUUUGAUAUAAAAGCAAUAGAACAUGUGCUUCGAUCAGAGAACUCAAUGCCCAUACGCCCAGGAUUCGAGUCACUGGCAUACUACCGUCACCGACACAAUAAAACGUAUGAUCCCAAGAGACUAACUGGACUUAUUACUGAGUAAGUCCAAAAUCACGCAAAAUAUUUAGCCACGGUGAAAAAUGGAAAGAAUUUAGAUUGAAAGUGAACUCUGUGAACAAUAAGAGAUCUUAUUGUUAGGAGUGGCCAAUUACUAUGUAGUGACCAGUAACUAUAGCAUAAGGAUAAAAUCGCUUCGAGAUGAAAACAACAUGAUAACGAAGAACCUUGACAUUGAGAUGAACCUAUGGGCCCUGGAGUCCAUCGGAGUAUAGGUAGGUAUUCGUCCAGAAGA